rnacentral:rRNA from 1 species
GACAGAGGGUGCAAACGUUGUUCGGAAUUACUGGGCGUAAAGGGCGCGUAGGCGGUGUGUCAAGUCAGGCGUGAAAGCCCCGGGCUCAACCUGGGAACCGCGCUUGAGACUGGCACGCUAGAGUUCGGGAGAGGAUGGUGGAAUUCCCAGUGUAGAGGUGAAAUUCGUAGAUAUUGGGAAGAACACCGAUGGCGAAGGCAGCCAUCUGGACCGACACUGACGCUGAGGCGCGAAAGCGUGGGGAGCGAUCCGG